CACAAUGAUGAAUAAGCGCUAUAAGCGCGAAAUUAACCCAGCUCGUCGAGUGCCCUCAUUUUAUAAUCACGUUCGAGGGCACAUUGAGAAAACGUCCUAUACUGAAUU
rnacentral:snoRNA from 1 species